UACGUAGGGGGCAAGCGUUGUCCGGAAUCAUUGGGCGUAAGCGCGUGUAGGCGGCCAGAAAAGUCCGCUGUGAAAACUCGAGGCUCAACUUCGAGCUGUCGGUGGAAACUUUCUGGCUAGAGUCCGGAAGAGGAGAAUGGAAUUCCUGGUGUAGCGGUGAAAUGCGCAGAUAUCGAGGAAGAACACCCGUGGCGGAAGGCGGGUUCUCUGG
rnacentral:rRNA from 1 species